rnacentral:misc_RNA from 1 species
AUGAUGAUAAACAGAGAAAAGUGAAGACACCAAAUGAAUUGAUAAACAAAGAGAUUCAAAAGUGGACCAAAUCUUCAAAUUAAACUGAACAAAGUACCGUAAAGGAGAAAAAAAUUGUAGUUGACGCGAGCUUUAUGUUAAAAAAAAUAAGCCAUCUAAACAUAAUGACCAAUAAACAAGUCACUCUGGAAUUAAUUAAGCUACCAAAAAAAGCUGCAUUAUACUGAAUAACUUUGAUAAAAUUCCCCAAUUAGCAAAAUCAUAUAUGCAUUUCAAAAAUAUUUCAUAACAAAACUCUAACCUAGACA